rnacentral:rRNA from 1 species
AUUGAACGCUGGCGGAAUGCUUUACACAUGCAAGUCGAGCGGCAGCGCGGGGGCAACCCUGGCGGCGAGCGGCGAACGGGUGAGUAACAUAUCGGAACGUACCCAGUCGUGGGGGAUAACUAUCCGAAAGGAUAGCUAAUACCGCAUACGACCUGAGGGUGAAAGCGGGGGACCGAAAGGCCUCGCGCGAUUGGAGCGGCCGAUAUCGGAUUAGCUAGUUGGUGAGGUAAAGGCUCACCAAGGCGACGAUCCGUAGCUGGUCUGAGAGGACGACCAGCCACACUGGGACUGAGACACGGCCCAGACUCUUACGGGAGGCAGCAGUGGGGGAAUUUUGGACAAUGGGCGGAAGCCUGAUCCAGCCAUGCCGCGUGAGUGAAGAAGGCCUCGGUUGUAAGCUCUUCGGUGGGGUAAGGAAAUUAGCACGGGUUAAU